rnacentral:rRNA from 1 species
CCUACGGGGUGCACCAGUGGGGAAUCUUAGACAAUGGGGGCAACCCUGAUCUAGCCAUGCCGCGUGAGUGAUGAAGGCCUUAGGGUUGUAAAGCUCUUUCAGCUGGGAAGAUAAUGACGGUGCCAGCAGAAGAAGCCCCGGCUAACUCCGUGCCAGCAGCCGCGGUAAUACGGAGGGGGCUAGCGUUGUUCGGAAUUACUGGGCGUAAAGCGCACGUAGGCGGACCAGAAAGUUGGGGGUGAAAUCCCGGGGCUCAACCCCGGAACUGCCUUCAGAACUAUUGGUCUGGAGUUCGAGAGAGGUGAGUGGAAUACCGAGUGUAGAGGUGAAAUUCGUAGAUAUUCGGUGGAACACCAGUGGCGAAGGCGGCUCACUGGCUCGAUACUGACGCUGAGGUGCGAAAGCGUGGGGAGCAAACAGGAUUAGAUACCCCAGUAGUC